rnacentral:rRNA from 1 species
UACGAAGGGGGCUAGCGUUGCUCGGAAUUACUGGGCGUAAAGGGCGCGUAGGCGGACAUUUAAGUCAGGGGUGAAAUCCCGGAGCUCAACUCCGGAACUGCCUUUGAUACUGGGUGUCUUGAGUGUGAGAGAGGUAUGUGGAACUCCGAGUGUAGAGGUGAAAUUCGUAGAUAUUCGGAAGAACACCAGUGGCGAAGGCGACAUACUGGCUCAUUACUGACGCUGAGGCUCGAAAGCGUGGGGAGCAAACAGG